rnacentral:rRNA from 1 species
AGCGAAUGGGGUCUUACCAUGCAGUCGAACGAUGAACCACUUCGGUGGGGAUUAGUGGCGAACGGGUGAGUAAAAGUGGGCAAUCUGCCCUUCACUCUGGGACAAGCCCUGGAAACGGGGUCUAAUACCGGAUAUCACUCCUGCAGGCAUCUGCGGGGGUCGAAAGCUCCGGCGGUGAAGGAUGAGCCCGCGGCCUAUCAGCUUGUUGGUGAGGUAAUGGCUCACCAAGGCGACGACGGGUAGCCGGCCUGAGAGGGCGACCGGCCACACUGGGACUGAGACACGGCCCACACUCCUACGGGAGGCAGCAGUGGGGAAUAUUGCACAAUGGGCGAAAGCCUGAUGCAGCGACGCCGCGUGAGGGAUGACGGCCUUCGGGUUGUAAACCUCUUUCAGCAGGGAAGAAGCGAAAGUGACGGUACCUGCAGAAGAAGCGCCGGCUAACUACGUGCCAGCAGCCGCGGUAAUACGUAGGGCGCAAGCGUUGUCCGGAAUUAUUGGGCGUAAAAAGCUCGUAGGCGGCUUGUCACGUCUGGUGUGAAAACCCGGGGCUUAACCCCGGGUCUGCAUUCUAUACACGCAGGCUAUAGUGUGGUAUGGGAGAUCUCAAAUUCUGGGGUAUCGCUGAAAUGUGCACAUAUCACGAGGAAAACCGGUGGCGAAAGCGGAUAUCUCUGGCCUUAUUGAGACUGAGAAGCGCAAACGUGGGGAGCGCACAGGAUAUAUAUCCUGGUAGUCCCACCCUAUACGGUGGGAACUAAGUGUUGGCGACAUUUCCACUCCUCCGUGCCCCACCUUAACAUUAAUUCCCCCCCCGGGGAGUUACGGCCCCAAGGCAAAAAUCAAAGGAAUUGACGGGGCCCCCCCAACCACGGAGCAGGUGCUUAAUUCGACGCAACGCGAGAACCUUACUAGGCUUGACAUACACCGGAACGUCU